CACAUCCCAGGUAUGCCAUCUUAACCAGAACCCGGUCUUUUCACAUGGGUUCCUGUGAAGCUGCAGGCCUUUCAGGCUCUGGUGCCAGGAGAGUAGGAUGCUACCUUACACCUUACAGCUCAAGCUGCCCAGGGAUGCUCUUAUGAAACAAACACUUAAGUAUUACUUAGAGCAGGGAAGAGGUCCAACAGGAAAGUGUCAUACUCCAGUUCAAUGACUCACCUGCCAGUCCUGAGACUUUGCUUCAUCAACGACUCUCAUUUUUUCUUUUCCAUCUUCCAUUUCUUCUUUUACCCAGGGAUAUGCCUAAGUCUCUUCUAUACUAAAAAAGCAAACAACACUACCUUGCCAGCACACGACAGCAGCCCUUGGCCUAGACAAGGUGGCAGUUUAAGAAGCAUUUUUUUAACAGGAAAUCAGUGUUCAUUGCACGGGACACCAUGUGGCUGCUGCACAGGAGUCUUGACCACAUUUGUCUUUGUAUCAGUGAACAUCCAAUGUUCUGAGUGGGAGCAUCCGUAUGGCAGAACCUGGAUCCCAGGCCCAUGACUUGGCAUCCAGGGAAAAGGAAGAAAGAAGAUCCUUCCGGUUUGGAUCCUGCAUGGGAGUUAAGGUACCUUGGUUGCAAGACACAGACAGUGGCUGCCUAACUUAAGGAAAAGGGCUCACAGAGUCGAAGGAAAGGCUUGAGAGCCCGGCUUCGAGAAGUCAGAACCCAGGCGGCUCCAGGGGUUUGGGAAGCGAGAAUUACUCGACAGUCUCAUUGGGAUGCAGAUGCUAAACUUCAUGAGCUUCAAUUAUUUUUUUGCAAUACUUGUAUUGUGAGCCCUGGAAUUUUAAAUUGUGUUUGAGGAA